rnacentral:rRNA from 1 species
AUUGAACGCUGGCGGCAGGCUUAACACAUGCAAGUCGAGCGAGCGGCGGACGGGUGAGUAAUCUCUGGGAACCUGCCUGAUGGAGGGGGAUAACUACUGGAAACGGUAGCUAAUACCGCAUACCAUCAGAUGUGCCCAGAUGGGAUUGGCUGGUAGGUGGGGUAAUGGCUCACCUAGGCGACGAUCCCUAGCUGGUCUGAGAGGGUGACCGGCAAAACUGGAACUGAGCCACGGUCAAGCCUCCUACUGGAGGCGGCAGUGGGGAAUAUUGCACAAUGGGCGCAAGCCUGAUGAAGCCAGGCCGCGUGUGGGAAGAAGGUCUUGGGUUUGUAAAGCACGUUCAGCGAGGAGGCGUUACUCGCACAAGAAGCACCGGCUAACUCCGUGCCAGCAGCCGCGGUAAUAC